UACGGGGGGGGGCAAGCGUUGUUCGGAAUUACUGGGCGUAAAGGGCUUGUAGGUGGCCAACUAAGUCCGACGUGAAAUCCCUAGGCUUAACCUAGGAACUGCGUCGGAUACUGGAUGGCUUGAAUCCGGGAGAGGGAUGCGGAAUUCCAGGUGUAGCGGUGAAAUGCGUAGAUAUCUGGAGGAACACCGGUGGCGAAGGCGGCAUCCUGGACCGGCAUUGACGCUGAGGAGCGAAAGCCAGGGGAGCAAACGGG
rnacentral:rRNA from 1 species